CAGAAGAAGAAAUUUCAUAUUCAUAUUCUUCUUCUUCUUCUUCUUCUUCUACCUCUUCUUCAUCGUCCUCCUCUUCAUUCCCAC
rnacentral:ribozyme from 13 species